CGCCCGUCGCUCCUACCGAUUGGGUGUGCUGGUGAAGCGUUCGGAUUGGCGGCCUCCGGCGGUUCGCCGCUGGGAGCAGCCGAGGAGUUCGUUAAACCCUCCCACCUAGAGGAAGGAGAAGUCGUAACAAGGUUUCC
rnacentral:rRNA from 1 species